GCCAUCGUGGCGCAAUGGUAGCGCAUCACCUUCCUAACCAGGAAGUGAUAGGUGGGGGUUGCGGGUUCGAUCCCCGUCGGUGGUA